AUACGUAGGUGACAAGCGUUAUCCGGAUUUACUGGGCGUAAAGGGCGUGUAGGCGGUCUUGCAAGUCAGAAGUGAAAUUCCUGAGCUCAACUCGGGCGCUGCUUCUGAAACUGCAGGACUUGAGUGCUGGAGGGGAUAGCGGAAUUCCUAGUGGAGCGGUAAAAUGCGCAGAUAUUAGGAAGAACACCGGUGGCGAAGGCGUCUAUCUGGACAGUAACUGACGCUGAGGCGCGAAAGCGUGGGGAGCAAACAGGAUUAGAUACCCUGGUAGGCCACGCCGUAAACGAUGAAUACUAGGUGUAGGGGGUAUCGACUCCCUCUGUGCCGCAGUUAACACAAUAAGUAUUCCGCCUGGGGAGUACGGCCGCAAGGUUGAGACUCAAAUGAAUUGACGGGG
rnacentral:rRNA from 1 species